rnacentral:rRNA from 1 species
AACGCUGGCGGCGUGCCUAAUACAUGCAAGUAGAACGACUGAAGACUUUAGCUUGCUAAAGUUGGAAGAGUUGCGAACGGGUGAGUAACGCGUAGGUAACCUGCCUACUAGCGGGGGAUAACUAUUGGAAACGAUAGCUAAUACCGCAUAACAGCAUUUAACACAUGUUAGAUGCUUGAAAGGAGCAAUUGCUUCACUAGUAGAUGGACCUGCGUUGUAUUAGCUAGUUGGUGAGGUAACGGCUCACCAAGGCGACGAUACAUAGCCGACCUGAGAGGGUGAUCGGCCACACUGGGACUGAGACACGGCCCAGACUCCUACGGGAGGCAGCAGUAGGGAAUCUUCGGCAAUGGGGGCAACCCUGACCGAGCAACGCCGCGUGAGUGAAGAAAGGUUUUCGGAUCGUAAAGCUCUGUUGUAAGAGAAGAACGUGUGUGAGAGUGGAAAGUUCACACAGUGACGGUAACUUACCAGAAAGGGACGGCUAACUACGUGCCAGCAGCUGC